rnacentral:misc_RNA from 1 species
GCUGGCCGUCAAUAAUGUCAUAGAAUACAUAAGGGCCAAGACCCUCACUCUCAUGAAAUGGUGCUGAUUUGCUUGACAUUUCUUCUCCAUUUAGUAGUUUACUAUCAUAAAAAUGCAAGGAGGGAAACCGGCAAAUCUCUGGGUGCAUCCUAUACUGUUUGGUAAGCAUGGUAACUGGAUGACCAGCCCUUUGUAAACGCUCAAACAUGCUACAUUCAUAAAGAAAUUUGCUUGCAACAUUAGAGAGGACUGUUGCAGGAAGCUGCUUUGGGUCACCAACCAUGAUACAUUUUGUCCCAUAUGACUUUAAAAGCUGUAGAGGAAUCAAAGUAGCAGGUUCCAAAGCUUGAGCUGCUUCAUCAAUCACAACAGCAUCAAAAAGG